AAUCGCGCCCGCUCCGACGUGUCCAGGUCCGCGGCCCCGGGAGCUUGGCGCGGCCCGGCCUGGAGGCGCUGGGCAGAGGGUGCAGGGGAGGGCACGGCGCCGCUUGCUUGGCCUGCGCACCCGGACCUAGAAGCCGGGACGAGCCGGGGCAGAGCCAGGCGUGCGGAAGUCUGAAGGUGCCCUCCAGACACGGCCCCGAUGACUGAACUACAGCAAGAUGUGGAAGACACAAAGCCUGCGAAAGUGCUCGGGAAGAGGGAGAGCAAACUUGGCUCAGCCCAACAAUCUUGAGGGCCAGCACAGCCUGAGGACUUGCUGACACAAAGUAUUGACGGGCCAGAGGAAGUGGGCAGCCUGGAUAACACAUCACCCCAUGUCUGCUGCUGCUCAGGUUUCUCUCACUGUCUCUUGGCUCAGAGGCUGAGAAUGGUGUGGAGGAGAAAAAGAAAGCCUGCAGGUCGCCAACAGCCCAAUCCCCUACCCCAUCUGUGGAGGCGGACUCCCCAGACCAGAAGAAAAUCAUUAGCCUAUGGUCAAAAUCCAGUUUUGAUGGUGCCUCUUUAGCAAGUGAUAAGAACGACUGUAA
rnacentral:sRNA from 1 species